GGGCCCUCGGUGGGCCGAAAAAAUAUAGAAAACUGAAACUUACUGGCGGUGGGGCUCUCCGGUGUGGCGUCUCCUCCGGCUCACGUCGCGGUUGGGUGUUUUGCUCUAGUUAACCUAUAGAGGAGGAAACGGUGAUCACAACGGUGGAAAAAUCACAUCGAACAGGAAUCAGAAAAGGCCUCAUCAUAUGCAAAAAUCGAGACACCCUGCGGCGGCACCGCUGG
rnacentral:lncRNA from 1 species